UACGAAGGGGGCUAGCGUUGCUCGGAAUUACUGGGCGUAAAGCGCACGUAGGCGGCUCUUUAAGUCGGGGGUGAAAUCCUGGAGCUCAACUCCAGAACUGCCUUCGAUACUGUAGAGCUUGAGUUCGGGAGAGGUGAGUGGAACUGCGAGUGUAGAGGUGAAAUUUCGUAGAUAUUUCGCAAGAACACCAGUGGCGAAGGCGGCUCACUGGCCCGGAUACUGACGCUGAGGUGCGAAAGACCGGUGGGGAGCAAACAGG
rnacentral:rRNA from 1 species